AUGGAGCUCAACGUUCAGCUUCGUGCCUCUGAUGGUGACCCUCUUCCUAAUCCCACCUGCUAUCGUCACCUUGUUGGUAACCUUGUCUAUCUUGCUAUUACGCGUCCUGACAUCUCCUAUCCUGUUCACAUCCUGAGUCAGUUUGUUUCAGCCCCCACCUCUGUCCACUAUAGUCAUCUCCUUCGUGUUCUACGAUACCUUCGUGGCACGAUCUCUCAGCGUCUUUUCUUUCCCCGCUCCAGCUCUCUUGAGCUCCAGGCCUACUCUGAUGCUACCUGGGCCAGUGAUCCCUCUGAUCGACGCUCACUGUCUGCUUACUGUGUCUUUCUUGGUAGCUCUCUUAUUACCUGGAAGACAAAUAAACAGACUGCAGUUUCUCGCUCGAGUAUAGAGGCUGAAUUGAGGGCCAUGGCUAUGUUGACGGCUGAGGUGAUCUGGUUACGGUGGUUACUUGAGGAUUUUGGUGUGUCUGCUCCUACCUCGACUCCCUUAUUGUCCGACAGUACUGGUGCUAUCAGUAUUGCGCGUGACCCGAUGAAGCAUGAGCUCACCAAGCACAUCGGUGUGGAUGCCCACUUUGUGCGUGUUGUUGUGCAGGAUCAGACUCUCGCUCUUCACUAUGUGCCCUCUGAGUUACAGUUGGCUGACUUCUUCACGAAGGCACAGACUCGAGCGCAGCAUACCUUUUUCCUCUCCAAACUCAGUGUUGUUGAUCCACCAUGA
rnacentral:rRNA from 1 species